GUCGGGGUAUCCAAGACGUGAUCGAGGCAAACGUCAGGUCGUUGAAUGUCAGUAUCAUCAGUGCAUAUUGUGGCAAAUGCCACACGUUCUGACCCUACAUCAUCCUUGGCAAUAAGUUAGUGGACAACAACGCAUACUGCGGUGUAAACCUUUGGUCCGUUCCUUCUUCUAAGUAAUUAUUAUUCUAAUCUUGGCUUCAGAUCAGACUAGCAAAGAGUCAUGCUUCUCUUUCCACCAUUAUCUAUAAUUUACGCACGUCGCCUAGUAGACGCAUGGCUGGUGAUACUCACGUAGAUGGCUGGUACCUGGCUGUAGUGAGGCUGUACAUCAGUUAGCGCCUGGUCAAGCAUAGGCGGACACUCAUCGACGACUUGGCUGCUAUUGUGACGUAGGUUUCGUGCCUCCAGGACUCAUUGCUCACUGUGUGAUCAACCAUGCUAGUUGCGACGAGGCGGACAGCAUCUUUAGUUCCUGGCGUUGAUUUUCGGUAUCGUGUCGGCCGCAAGUUGGUGGGCGACAGAACAGCCAAGUCCCGACUCAGCCCAGUCUGCCUAACGGAAUCGCAGUUCGCCGACGAUGCAGCUUUGUACACCACGUCGCUCCCCUUUCUCGAGACCAUGGCGAACGAGUUCAUUGAAUGUGCUUCGCAGUGGGGGUUGACGGUCAGCAUCCAGAAGACCAAGGCGAUGGUAGUGAAUCCCAACCAUCCCCAGCCGGCAUCCGUCACUGUCGGCAGCACCCUCAGCACGGGUGGCUCCUUGGACAAGGAGGUCACCUCCAGACCGGCCAAGACUUCCCGCGUGUUUGGUAGGCUGCAGAAGCCCAUCUUCCAGUGCCGUCGCUUAUGUGAUCACAUCAAGAGAACUGUAUAAAAGGCUGUUGUCAUGCCGACGCUGUUUUACGGGGCAGAGACCUGGGCUGUUAAGGCUACACAUCUCCGCCGUCUCAACCGCUUCCACCGGUCCUCGAUCCGGGCUAUACUGGGCGUGUCCAGAUCCACUCCGCGAUCGGACCACCUCACCAGCAACGAGCUUGCCCGCAGAGCGAGGCUGCCAGCCGACAUCAAUGUGCUGCUUCGUGAGGAUUGUCUGCGCUGGCUUGGGCACGUUGCACGUAUGAGCCCGGAGCGGAUGCCUCAGCAAGUUCUCUUCGGAGAGUUGAUGCCGACACGACCACACCAUGGACCGAAGAAGCGGUGGCGGGAUGUGCUUGCUGACGACCUGCAUGACGCGGACAUCCCUCAACAACACUGGUUGGCCAUGGCACAGGAUCGUCCUGCCUGGCGACGGAGGAUCUCCAGUGACCGUCUCCCUCCCCCGGCUCCUCCACUCGCCAAGGCGUCCAGCUGCGCAUGCGGACGGUCGUUCCGCAGAAGUGGCGACCUCAAGCAUCAUCGGCAUUUCUACCUGGCUCAUCAAGCCUGUUAUCGCUUCCCUGGCGAUGGGGCGUCACAAGGUCACAAGGUGUAUGUGUGUGUGUGUGUGUGUGUGUGUGUGUGUGUGUGUGUGUGUGUGUGUGUGUGUGUGUGUGUGUGUGUGUGUGUGUGUGACUUUUAAAAUGUUUUCAUAUAAUGUUUCUGCUGACAUGAUAUGGUCAGUGGCUACGACUGUGUAUUGUAUACUGAUGUACAUUAUGAUUGUGUUGUGCCAGUCUUUGUCACUUACAGUGAUGUGUAGAACAUGAUAGUGACAGUGACUGUGUGACUUGCAAUGGGAGUGCUUGCAGGCAGGCUUGGAGCUGCAAUGUUUUCUGUGCGUAUAUCGGAGCAUGGAUGUUGGCUGUUUGGGUAUGGCGGUAUGAAUGUUGGUUGUGAGUAUUGGAGCGUGAAUGUUGGA